rnacentral:rRNA from 1 species
GACGAACGCUGGCGGCGUGCCUAAUACAUGCAAGUCGAGCGCAGGAAACUGACGGAACUCUUCGGAGGGAAGGCAGUGGAAUGAGCGGCGGACGGGUGAGUAACACGUAAGGAACCUGCCUCAAGGAUUGGGAUAACUCCGAGAAAUCGGAGCUAAUACCGGAUAGUUCAUCGGACCGCAUGGUCCGUUGAUGAAGGGCGCUUCGGCGUCACCUUGAGAUGGCCUUGCGGUGCAUUAGCUAGUUGGUGGGGUAACGGCACACCAAGGCGACGAUGCAUAGCCGACCUGAGAGGGUGAUCGGCCACACUGGGACUGAGACACGGCCCAGACUCCUACGGGAGGCAGCAGUAGGGAAUCUUCCACAAUGGACGAAAGUCUGAUGGAGCAACGCCGCGUGAGUGAUGAAGGUUUUCGGAUCGUAAAACUCUGUUGUAAGGGAAGAACACGUACGAGAGGAAAUGCUCGUACCUUGACGGUACCUUACGAGAAAGCCACGGCUAACUACGUGCCAGCAGCCGCGGUAAGAC